rnacentral:tRNA from 2 species
GCCGCUGUAGCUCAGUGGUAGAGCGCACCCUUGGUAAGGGUGAGGUCGAGGGUUCAAGUCCCUCCAGCGGCU